rnacentral:rRNA from 1 species
UACGGGGGGAGCAAGCGUUGUUCGGAUUUACUGGGCGUAAAGGGCGCGUAGGCGGUGCGGUAAGUCUUUUGUGAAAUCUCCGGGCUCAACUCGGAGUCUGCAGGAGAAACUGCCGUGCUUGAGUGUGGGAGAGGUGAGUGGAAUUCCUGGUGUAGCGGUGAAAUGCGCAGAUAUCAGGAGGAACACCAAUUGCGAAGGCAGCUCGCUGGGACGUCACUGACGCUGAGACGCGAAAGCGUGGGGAGCAAACAGG